AUUGAACGCUGGCGGCAUGCUUUACACAUGCAAGUCGAACGGUAACAGGCCGCAAGGUGCUGACGAGUGGCGAACGGGUGAGUAAUGCAUCGGAACGUGCCCAGUCGUGGGGGAUAACGCAGCGAAAGCUGCGCUAAUACCGCAUACGAUCUAUGGAUGAAAGCGGGGGACCGCAAGGCCUCGCGCGAUUGGAGCGGCCGAUGUCAGAUUAGGUAGUUGGUGGGGUAAAGGCUCACCAAGCCAACGAUCUGUAGCUGGUCUGAGAGGACGACCAGCCACACUGGGACUGAGACACGGCCCAGACUCCUACGGGAGGCAGCAGUGGGGAAUUUUGGACAAUGGGCGCAAGCCUGAUCCAGCAAUGCCGCGUGCAGGAAGAAGGCCUUCGGGUUGUAAACUGCUUUUGUACGGAACGAAACGGCCCUGGUUAAUACCCGGGGCUAAUGACGGUACCGUAAGAAUAAGCACCGGCUAACUACGUGCCAGCCGCCGCGGUAAUAC
rnacentral:rRNA from 1 species